AAGAGAUUGAAAGAAUCAAGGCAAUAGCUAAGAACCAUGGGUAUAAACCUAAUCUGAUAGAAAAAAUGCUGAAUGAGAUAUCCUCCAUGAAUCGAAUAUCACAAGUCGAAGCAAGUAGCCAAGGGCUCACGGAUAAUAAUGAACAAGAACUAGGACAUCUCGACACUUACGCGGUGAUUCCAGAAGCCAUACGAGACUACACUGUAGUAAAAAACUUAACCAAGAGGGAUAACAAAAAAUAUGCUUAUAAAAGGCCUCCUACAAUAUAUAAUACAUUGAGGAGUGAUAAAGACCCAAAAAAAGACC
rnacentral:lncRNA from 1 species